GCUUGGAAAUACCUUUUACUUAUUAAAAUACAAUAGUUUAUAUGGCAUGGUUGUCGACUGUUCCUUUGGUCAAACACACGGGUUCCUCCCUCUCAGAACGAACCAAUUGAGUUCCUAGACUUACAACUAGGUGGCGUAGUCGGCACCUCACUACACGUCGGCCACAAAGGCACCCAACUUGUGGCACACCGCACGCUUAAAACAACCAUAGCCGCACCUCCAACAUCGGGAGCAAGAGAACAGUUUAUAGUACUCGGGGGUCCGAGGUCUGGGAUGUUGCAGGGCUGGCCCCGAGUGCGAGUGGCUCGCCCACACAGUGCUGGCAACAAACGGAGUUGAAGCAGGCUAGUUGACAAACAGGUCCUCCUGGUCGUUCACAGAACAGUUUACAACCGUCCUUCGUCCCGGCUCUCUCCGACUGUAGACAGCCCGUAAUCCCAAAACGUCCUUAACUGCACCUGGUCGACCGAUCGCGUCCGGUCUACUCUUCUCCGUAUUCCGUUCUGCCCCCUUGCCGACAUGUCGGCCCUUUUCUCCUCUCCGCGGCUGCAUUACCACGCCGCUGAGGAUCCAAUCAUGACAGGACCGGCAGCUUCUCCAUCCAGUCCUCCCACAUCAGUCCAUACACACGACACUUGCAUUGUCCUGGGAACGUCAUUGUUUGGAAUGGAAUGACUUUGUAUAAUACAGUGUACUUGAUAAACAAAGCACUUUGACUGUUUGACUUUAGUCGACAGAUAAAACUCUCAGCAUUCUGUAGUUUGAUAUCACUCGUAUGGUAGUUAGGGCCUUCCUUUUACGUUUUUUCAGCAGCCUGUUUGCUAAUGCUUUCAAAUAAUGUCCACAUAUGUUGUUUUCUGUUGUGUCUGUGUGUCUGUGUUAUUUAUUUCUUGAAGAUCAUAUUAGUAUUUUCUCCUCCGUGAAAGGCAACCCCAACUUGAAGGCGGGACUUUUUCAAUUCUGUAAUAACUUGCACUGGUCGAUGAGAGAACCUGGUAUCAGCAGCUGAGAGGCUCUGGAAAAAGCGGAGGAUACAAAGAUAAUAAUAGCCUAAGGAAAACUACCCACAGCGGGAUCAACUUAAGAUCAGCGCAUCGACAAGCAAUAGAGGCAACAAGUAAAAGUAUAGAAAGUGGGAGAAGAAGAGUGCACAAUAUAAUAUAUUUUAUUAAUUCGUCUGUGUACAAGUUGACCAACUAAUUAGUAAGGAUGGAACGUAGGCCUACUGUGUUUUGGGAUUCAAUGAAAAUCCCAUACCCUGUGAACAUCAAGGAAAACGAUAAAAAAAGAAAAACAUUCAAAAAUAAAUUUCUAGUUUUAAACCAUGAACGUCUAUAUGCUGAUGCCUCAGUCGACGGGGAAUGGGUGACCAACUUGAUUUUUUUCACAAGCCGUCCCAAAGUUUGGCAAGAAAGCAUAUGUAGGACCUAUGACGUCACAAGAGUUAAACCAAGAGUUAUUAACCAUGGCAGUCAAGUGACCAUACGUAACGACACAGGAUCUAAAUUCCUAGAUAUAAAUAUUUAUGAUACUGGAAGAGUCGUAAUUAAUGGGGAUGACCCAAAUCUUUGGGAGUUUAAAAGCACAUUUUUAGAGUUAAAGACAAAGAUAGCAGAAUCAGACCACAUGCCAAAAAGUGAGGAGUCUGAUGAGGAGGAAAAGGUGGAGGCCAAGGAGGAGAAGAACCCUCCUGCUCAGCCAGACCCUGCAACUAACCUUGACAUGGAGAAUCUCAGAAUUGUGACCCCUUAAAAUUGUUUGUGAUGUUGCACUGUGCUGUGUGUGCUGCACCAUACUAUGUAAUAAUAUAAUGUGAUAUUCUCUUUAUAUUCUUCUCUACUGCUAGCUACUUUAAUUAAGAUGUUAUUGUUGCACAGUAGUUCAAAUUGAAAUGUUAUUAUUGCACUGUGAUGAGCAUUUUGUUCACCAUGCCUGGUGGCUAAGAUGUGUUCGCUUCGCGAUGUGGCUGGUAAAUAUAAAGCCUUCCUAGACCUUGACCACCGAAAUACUGUUGGAACUGUACUACACUUUUGAUCAUUGAUCUUCUGCUGUAAUUUUUGUAAGCAUCAAUUUAUGCCUCACCUUAAAUGCAUUCAUGUAAGUAACUUGGGUAAUGUAAGCAUCUACUAAAUGAAUGAAAUGAUGUUGUUGAGAUGUUUAUGUCUGCCUGUAGUUUAUGUUAUCUUUGAACUCUGCCUGGUAAAAUACAGAUCAUUGGCUCUAACUGCUGAAAUAGGCUGUUUUGAUAACUUUGUUUUUCUGAUCCUUGAAUUUCGGCUGUACUUUCUCCAUGCACUAUUUGUAUGUCGCUUUGAAUUAAUAAAAAUGUAAGAAAGUUAA